rnacentral:antisense_RNA from 1 species
CUGGAGGGCAGAGUGAAAGCAGGAGAAAGCUGCAGCUUUUCUUCUUCAUCCUCCUUGGGGAGCUAAUUACAGGCCAGCAGCCACUGUGCAGGUGAGCUGUGGACACCAGCAGCCCAAGGACGCUAUUGGGGAUGCUCUGGAGGAGCCAAAGGCAGAAAUGUGAUCCUUACGCUGAGGCCACGGAGAGUGAGGGCUCUCAGAGGAACCCCUGCUCUCCACCAUUCCGGGGAGGGGCCUUUCUGUCUCCCAGAAUGAAUCCCUUGUAACCUCCUGGGAUCUUUCUUUUCAUCACAAGAACUAAAUAAAGAAACUUGAAGAUCUUCUA